GGGCUGUGGCUCAGUGGUAGAGCAUCUGCUUCACAUGCAGAAGCCCCCAGGUUCAAUCCCUGGCAUGCCCA